rnacentral:snRNA from 1 species
AUUGCUUCUCGGCCUUUUGGCUAAGAUCAAGUGUACUAUCCUUAAAGCAUUUACAUUCUGUGGUUCAGUCUAGUCUUUGUUAGUGCAUUAAAUGCCUGAAAAACAACUUUGCCAUAUCUGCGAUUUCGAUGGCCAGCACUUGUCCAUAA